rnacentral:rRNA from 1 species
AUUGAACGCUGGCGGAAUGCUUUACACAUGCAAGUCGAGCGGCAGCGCGGGGGCAACCCUGGCGGCGAGCGGCGAACGGGUGAGUAACAUAUCGGAACGUACCCCGUCGUGGGGGAUAACACAGCGAAAGCUGUGCUAAUACCGCAUACGACCUGAGGGUGAAAGCGGGGGAUCGCAAGACCUCGCGCGAUGGGAGCGGCCGAUAUCGGAUUAGCUUGUUGGUGAGGUAAAGGCUCACCAAGGCGACGAUCCGUAGCUGGUCUGAGAGGACGACCAGCCACACUGGAACUGAGACACGGUCCAGACUCCUACGGGAGGCAGCAGUGGGGAAUUUUGGACAAUGGGGGCAACCCUGAUCCAGCCAUUCCGCGUGAGUGAAGAAGGCCUCGGGUUGUAAA